GCAUGCCUAACACAUGCAAGUCGACCGCUGUGCUUGCACAGAGGGGCGAACGGGUGAGUAACACGUAUCUAACCUACCUUUUAGUCUGGAAUAACUGUGGGAAACUGCAGCUAAUGCCGGAUAGAAGUCCAUUGGAAUCACUGGAGGACCAAAGAUCCGUUGGAUCGCUAUUAGAUGGGGAUGCGGCGUAUUAGUUAGUUGGUGAGGUAAUGGCUCACCAAGACGAUGAUACGUAGCCGGCCUGAGAGGGUGAAC
rnacentral:rRNA from 1 species